UGNGAGGGCAUAUAGUCCUCGCUUUUNUGUACCGUANGGUGGUACAGGAACAAGGGCUGGGCAAGACCGGUGCCAGCCGCCGCGGUAAUACCGGCAGCCCNAGUGAUGGCCGAUAUUAUUGGGCCUAAAGCGUCCGUAGCUGGCCGANCAAGUCCGUCGGGAAAUCCACCCGCUCAACGGGUGGGCGUCCGGCGGAAACUGUNCGGCUUGGGACCGGAAGACCCGAGGGGUACGUCCGGGGUAGGAGUGAAAUCCCGUAAUCCNGGACGGACCACCGAUGGCGAAAGCNNNNCGNNAAANACGGAUCCGACAGUGANGGACGAAAGCUAGGGUCUCGAACCGGAU
rnacentral:rRNA from 1 species